rnacentral:lncRNA from 1 species
UGAAAAUACUGGUAUGUGACCAUGCAAGACUGUCAAUGCCGACAAAGACAACACUAAUCAGCAUAUCCUAUAUUGGAUCACAGUGCUCUCCAAAUUAUUUGAAAAAUGCAUACAGACAACUUGCCUGAUUGUUUUUUUUUUUUUUUAAUGAGUAUAAAAGGCCCUUUCACCUAUGCAGGUUUCCCCAUUAUGCAUAUAGAAAAUGCUAGUGUGUGUUGCUCACUUCAUGUGUAACAGGUGUCCUCAUGUUGUGCUGUAUCCUGUGCUUUUUCUGUGGGACCAUUCCAUUCAGGAACAAGAAGCACCAUGAUUCCACGCGUGUGUAUUUACUAACCCUCCCUUCCCUGAGGUUUGUGUAUGUUGGAUAUUGUGGUGUUUUAGAUCACUGAGUGUACAGAAGAGAGAAUUCAAACAAGAUAUUGCUGUUCUUCAGUUUUGUUUGUGGAAUUUGAAAUUACUCCAAUUUAAAAUAAAUUACUGGACUGUGGAAAUAACAUGUAGAAUUGCAGUUUUAAUUAAAUACAUCUCAAACCAGAAUCAUGGUUUUCAUAGUUUCAUACUGGAUACUGCUGGAGCAUUACCGGGAGCCAUAGAGGGAAAUUAUGAAAAAGAGAUGCAUUAUGUCAAUUACAUUCCUGUAGUUAUGAAAGAUUAUACAGCAGUCAGUGAAUAGUGGACUCCUUCUCACGUUUCCAGCAUUUUAAUCAAGUAGCACUCCAGGGCUUUAUGCAUUUCACGUAACUAAGAAAAGUAUGAGUGUUACACUGACUUGAAAUAAAGGUAUAUUUUUU